rnacentral:rRNA from 1 species
CAGCUCAACUGUAGAAUUGCCUUUGAUACUGAUAGACUUGAGUCAUAGUGAAGUAGUUAGAAUGUGUGGUGUAGCGGUGAAAUGCAUAGAGAUCACACAGAAUACCGAUUGCGAAGGCAGAUUACUAACUAUAUACUGACGCUGAGGGACGAAAGCGUGGGUAGCGAACAGGAUUAGAUACCCUGGUAGUCCACGCCGUAAACGAUGGAUACUAGCUGUUCGACCAACAUUGGUUGGUUGAGUGGCUAAGCGAAAGUGAUAAGUAUCCCACCUGGGGAGUACGGUCGCAAGACUGAAGCUCAAAGGAAUUGACGGGGGCCCGCACAAGCGGUGGAGCAUGUGGUUUAAUACGAUGAUACGCGAGGAACCUUACCAGGGCUUAAAUGUAAGUUGCAUGAUAUAGAGAUAGAUCUAUCUACGGACUAGUGACAAGGUGCUGCAUGGUUGUCGUCAGCUCGUGCCGUGAGGUGUC